CUUACAGAAAAACUGCAGGGGGAGACGGUCCUUCACCGAGCUGCGUCCCUGUGUCAAAGAACUAUCUGUCAUUAUCUGGUUGAAGCAGGAGCCUCGCUCAUGAAGACAGACCUACAGGAGGAGCUGUGCCGGCUGCAAACGGAGAACCAGCUGAAGGAGGAGGUGAAGGAGGUGCUGCAGG